rnacentral:rRNA from 1 species
GAUGGACGCUGGCGGCGUGCCUAAUACAUGCAAGUCGAGCGAACAGACGAGGAGCUUGCUCCUCUGACGUUAGCGGCGGACGGGUGAGUAACACGUGGAUAACCUACCUAUAAGACUGGGAUAACUUCGGGAAACCGGAGCUAAUACCGGAUAAUAUAUUGAACCGCAUGGUUCAAUAGUGAAAGACGGUUUUGCUGUCACUUAUAGAUGGAUCCGCGCCGCAUUAGCUAGUUGGUAAGGUAACGGCUUACCAAGGCAACGAUGCGUAGCCGACCUGAGAGGGUGAUCGGCCACACUGGAACUGAGACACGGUCCAGACUCCUACGGGAGGCAGCAGUAGGGAAUCUUCCGCAAUGGGCGAAAGCUUGACGGAGCAACGCCGCGUGAGUGAUGAAGGUCUUCGGAUCGUAUAACUCUGUUAUUAGGGAAGAACAAAUGUGUAAGUAACUAUGCACGUCUUGACGGUACCUAAUCAGAAAGCCACGGCUAACUACGUG